rnacentral:lncRNA from 1 species
ACAGACCUUGCUAUUCGAAAGUCUUCUUAAAUUAUAUUUUUCAUUUCUUCUCGUCAUUUUCCAAUAUUCGUCCAUUCUGGUGGAACCGAGGAACGAGAGAAGCAUUUGAUAAGGCUGUGGGUGGGAAUUAAUACUCAAAUGCUGCUGGAAGCCAGGCCCCCUUACAAAUCAUGUAAUUCCUGUUACUGGAAGACACACAUGUCCUAGAUUUAAUCAGUCCUGCAGGAAUCCCCUAUCAGAGCAUCACAGGUUUACCGUUUCUCCCGCUUCCCGACUGGCCUCACGAAAUGCAGAUUAGGCCGAGCAGCAAAUGUAUGCAUUAGACCGAACAUAAAUCUUACCUGCACACUCCAUUUCUAGAUAACUAUAUAUCUGUUAAAGAUAGAUAGACAGACGGUUGCAGAGUUUUAAGGGUGUUUCAACAAAAGGGAGAGGCUCAGUGAAUCAAGCUCUGUCCAACACACUGGGGCACAAAUUAAUUGUGGUUACCUGUUAGUGCAACAUAUGAAUUGCAUGAAUAAAAAUAAAUCUGUGUUUGAAUGAAUUGUGCUUGUUUAAUCAACUACAGCUCAAUAUAUUUAAUAUGCUUUUGAUCUUGAAUAUCUUUUGUUUAUCAUCUAAUGUCCAAGGACUACAUUUGAACUUAAGUGAUAGAAAACAUCUGUAAAUAUAUUGGAUUUCCUCUUUAUAGUGUUCACUAUAAAAGUAGUGAUUCCUAGACUACCAGGAAUCCUGUUGCAGUUGAGCAGAUAUUUAUUAGAAAAAAAAAUAAAUAAUAAUAAUAAUUCUGACAAUGUUCAGUAAAGUAAUAAAUGUUCAUUACUAUAUUGAUCAUUACAUGCCUUACUGCUUUUUAAAUUAAUUUAUUAAUUAAAUAUUUAUUUAUUUAUUUAUUAUUUUGUAUUACAGUAGUGUUUCCUAGACCAGCUGGGACCCUGUUGCAGUUGGCCAGAUUUUUAGGGGAAAAAUAAAUAAAUAAAAAAUGACCAAAAAAAAAAAAAGGAAGACGAGAGAUUUCCUAUAUUCAUAAUAUGUCGUUUUAAAAUUAAUUUAUAAUUUUUAAUUGUUUUGUAGCAUAAUAGUGCUUCAGAUUUAGUGGCUAGAUUUUAAUAUAAUAAUAAUAAAAU